UCUGCAAAGACUCUAUUUCCAAAUAAUGCUACAUUCACAGAUACUGGAGGUUAGGACUUUAACAUAUCUUUUGGGGGAGGACACAGUUCAAUAACAGAUUGCUAAACCAAUUAACUAAUUACUAAUUAAUAUAAACUAUGGGUGGAAAAAGCUUCCCCAGAAUAUGAUAAAAAGCUGUGUCGAUCUAAUCAAUGUGCUUGCUUAAAUAAGCCAUGUGUAUAAUACAUAUGCAUGCAUCUGUGUAUAUAUACAUAUGUACACAUGCAUUAAUUAUACUGCGCAAAAACCUCAAAGGCUAUUUAUCCCAAAUAGGAAAUAUCGUGUGGUUUGUCUAAAGCACUUUAAAGACAUCUGCCUUUUUCAGAUGUAAAUUUCUUUGAUGACAAGAAAUUACGUCUUUGCUAGCUUUUAAAAUACUAAAUUAUGAUAAUCCAUCACCAAAUAAACUCUGUGCUUCUAUCAUUUAAAAAAAUGUAAGAACUCUGAGUUUAGUAGUAGUUUUUAGUUGCCAUUGAAAGAUGGCAAUUUAACAUCACCGUUUAUUCAGAUUUCCAAAUUAAGGAGAUCUCUGUGGUUAGACAUUCCUUUCUUUAUCAGUCUCCUUUUCUUCAGGCCUGCCAUUUGUCCAUUGGUAUCUUUUCCUUCCAAAUGAUUCACAUACACACUAGGUCUUUUCCCUAAGCCUCAGAUUAUGAAGCAAAACUACAUGAAAAAAAGCAAAUGAUUGCUAAAUUAUGUCCUAAUUUCUAGCAUUCAGCAGUGCUAAAAUCAAGCAGAGAAUUUCACAAAAUUCUCAGAUAAAGUAUAUUUUUUACCAACUAACGUUGGGUAAAAGGGACUGAGAUAGAGAUUUAUUUUUAUUAUUAUUAACAACUUUGAAAGUGGUGCAUUUGGGAAACUAUUUACUAAUGUUCAUUGGAAUUGGUGGUAAUACUGAGGUCAGGAUUUAAUUCCAGGCAUUACCCAAAAAGUCCAUGUUUGCCUUGUUUCAAGCCUAGAGUUGCUAAAACAAUGCCUUCAGGGAGCCAGGCAUAAAUUAUCUUUCAGAUUGGUGGGCGUAGGAAUCUAUACUGCAAGCUAACUAUGCUGAAACAGACAUCUUAGAGAAUGUGAAUGUCUAUCUCAGACAAAGGAGAUUACAGGUUAUUAAUCAAGGCACUUUUCAAAUCUCAUCCCUUUGGGUCUUCUUAGAGUUUCAGAUUCAUUUAGCCAAAUACCAGCCUUAUCCCUUCCCUAAUUUUCCUAAAUAUUUGUGGCUGAAUGUACUUCUAGCUUUAGGAGUGCAGAAGACUUUGAGGGAGAGAAGGCAGGGUUGAAAAAGGAUGAGUUUCAGGUCAUCGCAUUGCUUCAAGGCAGUUUGCAGCUUGCAUUCAUAUUUUUAAAGUCUAAAUUAGAGCCCUUUAACACCAACUAUCUUGGGCACACAUGUGUUUGUAGAGGCAUACCACCAUAUGGCAAAAGGCAGAGUUGCUAAAACCAUAAAUAACAGAGAGGAAGGUUAAUUAGCAAAUUAAUUAACUGAAUUCCAUACAAGGUACUAACAAUACCUUAAUUUCUAGAUACAUUUGUUAUCAAAAAUGUCUACCUUAAUAAAGCUGUGGGGACUUACUAAGUGUAUUUACUGGGCAUGGUUCCCAGUUAUGAAAUAUUAAUACCUUGAAAAAUAAAACAUGCUUACGAAAAUGCAGUUAUGCUCUCAUUUUCAGAGGAAUACGUAAGUGAGGAAUAAAUACAGAAAUCCUUAAACAACUAGAAAUUGGGACUAAAAUGAAGUAGACCAUAGUUUUGUUAUUGCAUGUUCUGUUCAUACGAAAGCACCUAUCAUCCCACUUUACCAUCUUUCAACUGCAGGGCAGAGAGUUAUAUUUUUCAUCUUCAUACUGAGUAGAGAAUCCAUGAAAAUCUAAUACCCAGUUACCAGUCAAGUAUAAUGAAUAUAAAGGAGCCUCAGAAUAAAAUUUUCAGUUCUACCAAAUGUCUCUGCCUAAGUACAUCAAUAUCCAUGCUGGUGAUUGUACAAACCUGUGGCUAAUUAUAUUUUCACUUUUUCUAAGGGUAGGUACACUAAUAGGUGAUCCCACAGAAAAGGGCAUGAAAAUAAAUUAAAGGUGUGUGCCAUGUAUAUUCAUGCUUUUGUGGUUAUCAUUGCUAUUGUCUUAUUCCCAUGGAUAUUGGAGGAUCGUUGAUAAGGCACUUAAAUGUUGAUAAGGCACCUAAUGAGUAUCCUGUGUGAUCAGAAUAGUAUACAAUGAUAAUCGUUUCCUUCUUUGUGCAUUAGUAUUGACAUAGCCACUAAUCAGGAACUGUGAACUCUCUACACUUGUAUCUGCAGCCCUCUUAUUAAAAAGACUUCUGGAUUUUUUUUUCCCUAAGCUAGAAACAGACAGGCAAACAAAAACAAUGAUUAAAGGGCACAAAAAUAUAUAUUUAAAGGCAGAGUUUUUUUCCUAUGUGUAUAAGAUUCAAAUUAAAUUCCUCUUUUUGGCUUUUUGGAUGGUUUUGGUAAUUGGGCUGAAGUCACUAUGUUUUUGUCAUAACAGGUCAAGAAUUGCUUACUCAUGUUUGAGAAACAAUAAUGAUAUGGCAAGAGAGAGCCCUUGGUGCAGAUCCAGGAAGACCAGUGUUUGAACAUUGUGGGGUAAAGUGCCGAUAGACAUUAUGGCCUGGCAUGGUGGCUCACGUCUAUAAUCCCAGCACUUUAGGAGGC